rnacentral:pre_miRNA from 1 species
CUUGGGGGGGGGGAUCCCUCAGCCCAGAUUGCGGGAGGGCGCAGGCAGGCCGAGGGGCCCCACUGGUGCACC